UGUACACCUAAGAAGAAUGUUGUUAAUAAAAUUUUGAAAGAAAAUAAUAUUCUGCCCCUUUGGGAAAUAUUUUUUCUAAAUGGAUGUGUUCUUAUAUAGGUAGUGAGGUCGAGGAUUAGGCCAGAUUUGACUCAUUACCCCACCACCUAGACUGCUCCAUACCAAGCCUUGAACCCAGCCCCUCCUACUAACCACUCACCACUUGUCCAUUAUCCAACAUCAUGAUGUCAUCAUCUGCGAGGUCGUCUUGACAAAAGUCGGUGCAUUUCUCUGAAACUGA